UAAAUAAACUUGGAGGUAUAUUAGCAGCAUGACUACUUUAGCCACUGCUGUCAGUCACCUUCAGACAAAGAUUGAUUGAAAAAAAAAAUCAUGGAAGGAAAAUGGAGAUGGUGUAGAACUGGCUGAGUUUUACUGUAGGAAGGGGUAAGAGCAGUGUCACCUUGCUUGUGUCCUCUCUGUCACCAUCUCACCAUCGUUAUUUUGUUCUCUUGUUUUCUUUGCCCUGGUUUCCUUUUGUCUCCUGUGUCCCUGUGUUUUUAUUUUCAUAGGGAUGUCCCAGAUGCAGCUGGCCCACCAUGGCCCCCAUGGCCUAGGACACCCCCAUGCUGGGCCUCCAGGCUCUGGAGGGCAGCCACCACCCCGACCACCCCCUGGAAUGCCUCAUCCUGGACCACCUCCGAUGGGCAUGCCUCCCCGAGGGCCUCCUUUUGGAUCUCCCAUGGGUCACCCAGGUCCCAUGCCUCCACACGGUAUGCGUGGGCCUCCUCCAUUGAUGCCCCCUCAUGGAUACACCGGUCCUCCGAGACCCCCUCCCUAUGGCUACCAGCGGGGACCCCUCCCUCCACCCAGACCCACUCCACGGCCCCCAGUUCCUCCUCGUGGUCCACUUCGGGGCCCACUUCCUCAGUAAAUGGUCAUCCUUUGUCUCCUUCUUUUAUCCUCCCUGUGUCUUCAUUUCUCGGACCAAUCAGAGAUGCUGUAGCUCGUCAGGGCUAAUGUGCUGACCCCUGUCAGCAGCUCUGUCCCCAUUCCAAUGUCGUGUUUUCCACAGGGGAUUUUUCUUCAUUUUUAUUUUAAAAUGUUGGUCCUAAUUUCUUUACACAUGUAUAGAGAAAAAUAAAACUAUGCUUCUUGUUUGUUC
rnacentral:lncRNA from 1 species